AUAUGUUUCAUCAACUUUCCAUGGAAGUAUACUAUUCAUUAACGAUGACAUUGAGGAAAUCAUUGCUUUCAAACACAGAAUCUGACAACUCCGUUUCAAGCCGCCGUUUGGUGUCAUCACAAUCUGUUAUCAGUCUGCAAGAUGAGUUCUUAAGCAAGACACCUUUCAACAACAUAGAAGAAGUUAACAAAACAGCUAUGGUACUCUCAUCAGUUUUUUGCCUGGUUUCGAGUGGUACUACAAUGCGUGUAAAGCUUGUAACAAUAAGGUUACAACUGCUUAUGUUAUAACUGACCCGGUUGACGGAGUUGACGGAUCUAAAAUGGUGGAACAAAAAAAGAUUAUUCAAUGCCCUAGUGCAAGUUGCAACAAAAAAGUAAUUGUAAUUGUUUCGAGGUACAAAAUUCCAUUAAGGUUGCAAGAUAAUACUAGUGUUGUUUCCCUAAUUGUGUUGGAUCGCGAGGCUAAAAAAAUGUUGAAAAAGCGCCAAAGAUUUGCUUGAUAGGAUCCAGGAUGAUAAUCUCAGCAUGAUUCUUGAUGAAAUUCAUGAUUUGGUUGGAAAAAAGUAUGCAUUUAAAAUUGACAUUUCCAACUUUAAUAUCAUAAACAACUACAAGUCUUUCAUUGUUUGCAACUUCACUGAUGAUCCCUCCAUCAUAUCAAAGCUUGAAGCAAAUCUAGAGGUUUAUCAGGAAAACCAGGAAAACACGCAACAUAACUAGCUUCUUCAGUGACCAUGUGCUAAAGUUCGGGACGAAAUUUCUUUCAAGUUGGGGAUAAUGUGACAAUUCGAACUUUACAGGUUAGUGUAGUUUACCUUGGCGAUUCUAGAACUCUCAUUGUUUUCCUUCAUUGUGCAAUUCUUGAUUUAGACAUGUUAAAUGUUGUGUGUUAACCUUAAACUUUGCGUUGCGGGCCACGAGUAACUUGGGUUACAUUUAUCUUAGUUACAUGUCAUUCUAGGCCCAAAUCCACACAAGUGGGCCGAUUACUUGGAUCCUGUUGCUUCUUUGUGCAUUACUUGACUUAGAAUUGAUUUCUUGGAAUCCUGUUGCUUAGCACAUUGCUUAACACAUGGGGUUAGUGGAUUUUAUCCACACACACACCGAAUUAAUGAGUGGGCCGGAUUGAGAAUUGAGCCCAAAUAGGUUUUAGAUUGGGGGCCGGCCUUUUGUAUGGCUUGCAUUGCACUCAAAAUUAAUGUAACAAGAUAAUAUAAUACCACGCAUAUACAAACCCUCCUCUCUAAACCUUGCGAUCGGCAGUAGCUACCUUCCUCGUGAGGUUUACUUCGGAUCCGGAAAUAUCAAUACCUUAACUCGUUUGGUUAGUGUAAAUCUACUUAUGCUCUAAAUUAAUAUCUUUGUUAUGCAUAGGUAUACCUUAACUCAUGAUCUUGAUAACUGGUGUUGUUAUAAUUGAUGAAUAAUAUGUUAUGUUAUGGUCAAAUUUGUGUCAGAGCAUGUGUAGGUAAUUAAUGAAAGUGUUGGGCAUAAUAUUAGCAUGUGAAAGCAUUAAUAUUGGCAGCCACUAUUUUCUUAAUUUCAUGAUUGUAUACAUGUGGGUUGUCGGCUUUGUUGUAAGGCUUCAUCAGGAUACUUUAAAUCAAUUGUGGGGAUAUGAUGGUUAACCUGAUUAAAUAGCAAGGAUUGUGUGUAAAAGUUAUUAUGAUUAUUCUUGAAGUGUAUAUUAAUAUUAUGUGUUUAUUGAUGAAUUAUUAUCCAAUUUGGAAAACUUUGGUGUUAAAUAUCUUUGGGCCGAGAAUCAAUAGCAGGUUUAUAACAACUAGUACAUAAGGAUAUUUGGGCUUAUAUGAGUAAUUAGAUCUGCACUAGUGUUAGCAAAACAUCAUAGGUAUAAUAAAUCCUUAUAUGAGCAUGAAUAUAAUUGAGAUUUGGGUCUUGUGUUAAGUCUCGGGCUGUGUUGGUGGGCUGUUUGGAUCAGGCCUGCCGCACAUAAGUUAAGGGGAGUGGGUUGGAUUAUUUAGUUUAAUGUUAGGUUAAUAACAAUGGGCCGGGUAGUGCUAGAAUGGCAUGACAAUUGUUUUGGGCCGGUAACUUUAGUAAACUUGGUGUCUAGUUUGGUGUUAUCUUGGUUAUUAGGGGGCGUAACUUAGAGCGAGUCAUGAACAUAUCAUGUAAUGUGUGUAUUGUUAGGAAUUGUGAUUCGAAAAUGUGACAAUACAAACAUCUAGUUAGUGGAAGAGUUAAAAUCCAAAUAUGUGAUACUGUCCAUGAAAUUUGAUCAAGUAUGUGUGGUUAUAUGAAACGUGACCUAUGUGCUACUUGAAUACGUGAUUAAUGGUAUGUGAAUCUGAUUAGACGUAAUACCUAUGAUAGGACGUGAUUGAAUAGAGUAUAUUGACAAGUAAACUAUCUGCCGAGCAAAUUAAGGUGAGUUCACAGUUUCCACAAG